UUUUUUUUUUUUUUUUUUUUGUGGUUCGUUGGGGGAAUAGUGUGGUGGGAUCCACGGCACUAUGAUUCACGUUGUGGGUCCCAACUUUGUAUUCGGUGGCCACGUUAUACUGCAAGAGACACAAAUAAUAUUUGACUUUGAGUAACAUCAAUUGAAAUCAAUUAUUACUCUUUUCGUCCCAUUAUAGUUUUAGUUUUUUUUUAAUACAUAAAUUUAAAAAAAAUAAUUAACUUUGUUAAAAAAAUAAAUUUACGUUAUUAUUUUUCUAAAAUACCUUAUAUUAAAUAAAAUAUUAAUUUAUAUUAAUUAUUCAUGAAAAUUUGAAUUAAUGAAUUAUGAAAACUUGAAUUGACAGUUAAGAAAGAAUCAAUCCUCAUUCAUAUAUCACAUGUUUUGAAAAAUCUAAAUAUUUUAAAUGAGAUAUGUUAUAUCCAAUAACAAUCUAUAUUAAAUAAGUUAGUUUAUGCUAAUAUCAACCUACAUUGAAUGAAAAUAUUUUCAAAUAAUUAAAAAAUAAAUACAUUUUUCAAUUAGAAAAUGGACUACAAUUAAAUGGCAAAGCCAGGAAGUUUCUUCAGCAAGAGCACUUUACAUUUAUUAUCGUAAAAUCUCUUUCUUCUGCUUCCACGGAAAUUCCAAUUUGCAUUUAUUAUUGGAAAAUCUUUUUCUGCUUCAGCGGAAAUUCCAAGGCGUUAUGUUUUUUUUUUAAAAAAAAAAACUCAGUUGAAAUCAAAUGACUAAUCGGACAGACGGAGGAGAGGAGACCGGAGAGGGAGGGAGGCGAAUACUCUUCCUAAAAUGUUUACAUACAUACAGAACCAAGGCAUAACUGCGGUGGUGGUUUGCUCCAUUGCUACUCUGGAGAAAAUGGACGACAUAACAAUUAAUCUCAGUCAAUACUGAAAAGAAAAAAAUGACCACCGGGAAACUGCAACAACCAGUGCAAUCCUAUCUAUGGAGGAGUAUGUGGUGGGCGAUACCCUGCCCUGCAUAUGAGUGUAGCAGUAACUGGUAGGGUGACAG
rnacentral:lncRNA from 1 species